rnacentral:rRNA from 1 species
GACAGAGGUCUCGAGCGUUAGGCGGAAUCACUGGGCUUAAAGCGUGUGUAGGUGGAUUUGUAAGUACCUUGUGAAAUCCCACGGCUUAACCGUGGAACUGCUUGGUAUACUGCUUAUCUUGGGCCAUCUAGGGGUUACCGGAACAAACGGUGGAGCGGUGAAAUGCGUAGAUAUCGUUUGGAACGCCAAUGGUGAAAACAGGUAACUGGGGAUGUGCCGACACUGAGACACGAAAGCCAGGGGAGCGAACGGGAUUAGAUACCCCGGUAGUCCUGGCUGUAAACGAUGUCGACUAGAUCGUAGUGCCUCUGACGGUAUUACGGUCGAAGCAAAAGUGCUAAGUCGACCGCCUGGGAAGUACGGUCGCAAGGCUAAA